rnacentral:rRNA from 1 species
GAUGAACGCUGACAGAAUGCUUAACACAUGCAAGUCGACUCGAGUCUUCGGACUUGGGUGGCGCACGGGUGAGUAACGCGUAAAGAACUUGCCUCUUAGACCGGGACAACAUCUGGAAACGGAUGCUAAUACCGGAUAUUAUGGUUUUUUCGCAUGGAGGAAUCAUGAAAGCUAGAUGCGCUAAGAGAGAGCUUUGCGUCCCAUUAGCUGGUUGGUGAGGUAACGGCCCACCAAGGCAAUGAUGGGUAGCCGGCCUGAGAGGGUGAACGGCCACAAGGGGACUGAGACACGGCCCUUACUCCUACGGGAGGCAGCAGUGGGGAAUAUUGGACAAUGGACCGCAAGUCUGAUCCAGCAAUUCUGUGUGCACGAUGACGUUUUUCGGAAUGUAAAGUGCUUUCAGUCGGGAAGAAGUCAGUGACGGUACCGACAGAAGAAGCGACGGCUAAAUACGUGCCAGCAGCCGCGGUAAUACGUAUGUCGCAAGCGUUAUCCGGAUUUAUUGGGCGUAAAGCGCGUCUAGGCGGCAAGGAAAGUCUGAUGUGAAAAUGCGGAGCUCAACUCCGUAUGGCGUUGGAAACUGCCUUACUAGAGUACUGGAGAGGUAGGCGGAACUACAAGUGUAGAGGUGAAAUUCGUAGAUAUUUGUAGGAAUGCCGAUGGGGAAGCCAUGCCUACUGGACGGAUACUGACGCUGAAGCGCGAAAGCGUGGGUAGCAAACAUGAUGAGAUACCCGGGGUUCCCAGGGGCGAAUUCCACAUUGUUUUUAGCUGUAUUGAUGUCUGUUGACCUCUGAGGGGAAACACAGAACCCAGCUUUUGUUUCCUUUAGUGGUGGUUAUUAUGUGCCCCUGAAUGCAAUUGCCCUGUAGUGUGUAUUGGGGUAUAUUAUGUGUCUUUGUGUGUUGUGUAUAGAGUGUUUGUUGUUUUGGUGCUGUUGUACUGUGUGUAUUGUGUUUAUCUCUGUGUUAGUUGAUACUUAUCCUACUCUCCUCUUGCUGUUGCUGAUGACUAUUUUUUUCUCUAUGUCUGCUUUAUUUUGUUGUUGCUUGCUGUGUUGUUGUUGUUGUUGUG